GCAGCAUCCUCAAAAUGUCGCCCCGGAGAGAAAACCAAGAAGUGAGAGCCGCAGGACCUGGCAGUGCAGGUGUGACCUUGAGAGGAAGCCUGACUCAAGGGGAGAGCCGGCUGUUCAUCCCAAGACUGUGCAGAAGAGCUCCAGGGGCUCAUGGCCUGCUCACUAUUUAUGGGCAGGAGAGAGCUCAGCUCCUAGGAAACAGCAGGGUCUAACCUCUCAAGAGCUUGAUCCUCAGAUUCGAAGUAUUACUUGGCUCAGCCUCUGCUUUUCUUUUGGAGCAAAGUACCACCAAUUACCAGAGUACCUUUUUUUUUUUUUUUUUUUUUCAUCGUCAUAUAAAUGUUGCUGUGGAUUGCUUCAUGGCCCUCAUCAUUGGACCUACCUUUUGGACCUUUAGGGACCAUCCCGAUAAGCAAAGUAGAUACGGGUUUGAAUUAACCUAUAUCUAAAUCAUUCGUAUGGCAUAUAUUAUUAAUAGGCCAUGAACAAUCUCCCUGCC
rnacentral:lncRNA from 1 species